rnacentral:rRNA from 1 species
GACGGAGGAUGCAAGCGUUAUCCGGAAUGAUUGGGCGUAAAGCGUCCGCAGGUGGCAGUUCAAGUCUGCUGUCAAAGACCGGGGCUUAACUUCGGAAAGGCAGUGGAAACUGAACAGCUAGAGUAUGGUAGGGGCAGAGGGAAUUCCUGGUGUAGCGGUGAAAUGCGUAGAGAUCAGGAAGAACAUCGGUGGCGAAGGCGCUCUGCUGGACCAUAACUGACACUCAGGGGCGAAAGCUAGGGGAGCGAAUGGG